rnacentral:rRNA from 1 species
AGAGUUUGAUCAUGGCUCAGGAUGAACGCUGGCGGCGUGCCUAACACAUGCAAGUCGAACGAAGCACACUGGAAAGAGAUUUCGGUCAAUGGAAGGUGUGACUUAGUGGCGGACGGGUGAGUAACGCGUGAGCAACCUGCCUUGGAGAGGGGGACAACAGCUGGAAACGGCUGCUAAUACCGCAUAAUAUUGGGGGAAGGCAUCUUCCCCUGAUCAAAGCGAAUACGCUCUGAGAUGGGCUCGCGUCUGAUUAGCUAGAUGGUGAGGUAAGGGCUCACCAUGGCGACGAUCAGUAGCCGGACUGAGAGGUUGAACGGCCACAUUGGGACUGAGAUACGGCCCAGACUCCUACGGGAGGCAGCAGUGGGGAAUAUUGGUCAAUGGGGGGAACCCUGAACCAGCAACGCCGCGUGAAGGAAGAAGGCUUUCGGGUUGUAAACUUCUUUUAUCUGUGACGAUAGUGACGGUAGCAGAUGAAUAAGCUACGGCUAACUACGUGCCAGCAGCCGCGGUAAUACGUAGGUAGCGAGCGUUAUCCGGAUUUACUGGGUGUAAAGGGCGUGUAGGCGGGACUGCAAGUCAGGUGUGAAAACUAUGGGCUUAACCCAUAGCCUGCAUUUGAAACUGUAGUUCUUGAGUACUGGAGAGGCAGUCGGAAUUCCGUGUGUAGCGGUGAAAUGCGUAGAUAUAUGGAAGAACACCUGUGGCGAAGGCGGCUUACUAGCUCGAUACUGACGCUCAGUCACGAAAGCGUGGGUAGCAAAUAGGAUUAGAUACCCUAGUAGUCCACGCCGUAAACG